rnacentral:rRNA from 1 species
GACGAACGCUGGCGGCGUGCCUAAUACAUGCAAGUCGAACGAGUUGCGAACGGGUGAGUAAUGUCUGGGAAACUGCCCGAAGGCGGGGGAUAACUACUGGAAACGGCAGCUAAUACCGCAUACCAUCGGAUUUGCCGAGGUGGGAUUAGCUAGUAGGUGGGGUAAUGGCUCACGUAGGCGACGAUCCCUAGCUGGUCGGAGAGGAUGACCAGCCACACUGGAACUGAGACACGGUCCAGACUCCGCCGGGAGGCAGCAGUGGGGAAUAUUGCGCAAUGGGCGCAAGCCUGAGGCAGACAUGCCGCGUGUAUGAAGAAGGCCUUCGGGUUGUAAAGUACGUUCAUCGGGGAGGCGGUACUCGCAGAGAAAGCACCGGCUAACUCCGUGCCAGCAGCCGCGGUAAUUC